UAAUAAUGGCCCUCGCUUCCCUGGCUUUACACUGAAGGAAUUGUCCACACUUCCCUGGCUGCAUCCUGAAGAAAUGAUUCACAUUUAUCCGGCUCCAUCCUGAAGAAAUGAUCCAUGUUUACCUAGCUGCAUCCUGAAGGAAUGUUUCAUACUUACCUGGCUGCAUCCUGAAGGAAUGCUUCCUGCUUACCUGGCUACACCGUGGAGGAAUGGUUCAUACUUACCAGCCUCUAUCCUGAAGGAAUUGUCCACGCUUACCUGGCUGCAUCCUGAAGGAGUGGUCCAUGCUUACCUGGAGGCUUCAUCUGGGAAAACAACCUGUUCCAUCCUCUGGCCAUUUCCAUCUUGGAUUCCUCUGAGCUAAUGACCCAGGGUGAGUUGGCGAGUGGAGACCUCCGAGAGCUGAUGGUGUAGCUCCAGUCCAAAGGCCAGCAGGCUGGAGACCCAGGAAGAGAUGUUCCAGUUAGAGUCUGAAGGCAGCAGAAAGCUAAUGUCCCAGCUUGAAGGCAGCUGGGCAGGAAGAGCCAGCAUUCCAGGUGGGGG
rnacentral:lncRNA from 10 species